rnacentral:rRNA from 1 species
UGGGCAACCUGCCCCUCUCUCUGGGAUAACCCCCGGGAAACCGGAGCUAAUACCGGAUACUCCGGCUGGAUCGCAUGGUCCGGCCGGGAAAGGUCGCCGGAGAGGGAUGGGCCCGCGGCCUAUCAGCUUGUUGGUGGGGUCAUGGCUCACCAAGGCGACGACGGGUANCUGGUCUGAGAGGACGACCAGCCACACUGGAACUGAGAUACGGUCCAGACUCCGUACGGGAGCA